UCAAGCUUCGGACAGCGUCGCGAGUGGACGAUUCAUAACAAUAUUGGAAUAACGCGUAUCACUGUGCCCGCGAUAGUUACGAAAAUGGAGUUAAAUUUUAUAACAACCCUUAUUAAACACGAUGUGAACCACAAUGUGAAACAGUGUUUUAAAACGAAAAAGCCUUUCGUUACUAGAAAAGAAGAAGUAAUGGCGAUCAAAAGUAAAUUUCCAACUAAAAUACCGCUUAUUGUUGAGAGAUAUCACAAAGAGAGAAAUCUACCAACGUUGGACAAAACAAAGUUUCUUGUCCCGGAAGACAUCACAAUGUCGCAAUUCCUAGUGAUUAUUCGUAACAGAAUUAGAAUAAAACCGAAUCAAGCCCUCUACCUGAUAAUCAACAACAGAUCUAUGCUGAGCAUGAGUCUAACCAUGGCGCAGGCGUACGAGCUGUAUGGUGAUGAGGAUGGUUUUCUUUACGUUACCUACGCAUCUCAGGAAGUUUUCGGUUAUCAAGAUGACAUGACGGGAUCUGACAAGGAAGUUCAAGUAAUUAGGGACAGAUUUCCGAAUAAAAUACCGUUAUUCGUGGAGAGAUUCGCCCGAGAAAGAGAAGUUCCAGUACUAGGCAGGAACAAGUUCUUGGUGCCGCAAGAACUCACUAUGUCUCAGUUCCUGUACAUCAUUCGUACUAAGAUGAAAUUAAGAGACUCUCAGGUAUAUUUAUUUAGGCGUUGUAUCUGCUAGUUAACGACAAAGUGCUCGUGAGCCACAGCAUGACGAUGGCUCAAGCGUACGACCAGUUCCGAAGCGCGGACGGAUUUUUGCACAUAACUUACGCCGCGCAGCAAGUCUUCGGUUGAAACUCAUGGUCACCCCAAACUUCCCGGUUACGCGAAGAUAUGAAAACUGGCAUUUAAUUAAAUGAUUAUAUUUUAAAGACUGAUAGUAUUUUAUUUUUGUGAUAAACUUAGCAUUGUAGGAUUUUAAAUUAUAACCAUUAUUAUAUUUGGCUAUAUCGUUUAUUUCAAUGAGGCCUGUUCCAAAUAAAAUGUAUUUAGAUCAUGUUAUUAUAUUUUAUUAUCUGUGUAUUUGUAGUGUUUUUUUAUUAUAAUGAUUCAAUUGUGUCAUAUUUGUUACUUAUGUUAUUGUAUAAUUUUUCAAUUUUUAAGAAUAUUUAUGAUCUCAAAAAUUAUAAGAAAUAUAUUGGUGUCUUAAUUUCCCCUGUUUUAGAAAUAAGAGUGGAAAUAUUUUAUAUAAUAAUUGUAAAUAAAAAUU